rnacentral:tRNA from 1 species
GGAGAGAUGCGGGAGUGGUUUAACCGGCAGUCCUGGAAAGACUGUGUAACCGCAAGGUUACCGUGGGUUCGAAUCCCACUCUCUCCG